CUUGUGGACAACAAGUAGCUUUCAGGUAGUGUUGGGUUAAAAUCUGCAGCAGGGGUGUAAAUUUAAUUUUUUAUCGGGUGUAUUUAUAGUCUGUGUUUGGGUGUAUUAUGCAGAUCUCUAUGCAGACCGUCAUAUAUGGGUUCCAAUC